AAGAUACAAACUGUGAUUUACAGGAGAGCAAAAAUGUUCAGUUAAAGCAUCUAAAAGCAGUUGCAUCAAAACGUGCCACACUAGCAGAUCGUAUGACAGGUAAAGGUAAUAAAUUCACUUGCUAUGUUUCAGCGUUUGCCAACCAUAACGGAGGUCACAUCUACUAUGGCAUCAGAGAUGAUGGAGUUGUUGAAGGAGAGUUGAUUCCAAACAAGCAGGACAGGGAUGAAAUAGCAAAGAAAGUGGAGAAAGCCAUCAAGAAGUUGAUCUGGCCUGAGCAGGUUGGUCAACCAAAACGAGGGGAACAAUGGGAAAUAUUCUUUGAGCCAGUAGUAGAUAAAAACUCCAAGCCAAUCCCAUCAACCGUUGUGAUCGUGAUCUAUGUCGCUCUUUGUUUGGGUGGUGUGUUUACUGAGGAACCAGAAUGUUAUGAAAUGGUGGAGGGGAAAGUUAAGAAGAUGUCGUUUGCUACUUGGAAGAAGAGAGUAUUGCAACUUGAUGAUGUACAGUAGGUAUUCCUGUGGCAGUACAACG